rnacentral:misc_RNA from 1 species
GAUGAAGAACGCAGCGAAAUGCGAUAAGUAGUGUGAAUUGCAGAAUUCAGUGAAUCAUCGAAUCUUUGAACGCACAUUGCGCCCCUCGGUAUUCCGUGGGGCAUGCCUGUUCGAGCAUCAUUUACCCCUCAAGCACUGCUUGGUGUUGGGCGUCUGUCCCGCUUCGCGCGCGGACUCGCCCCAAAGGUAUUGGCAGCGGUCGUGCCAGCUUCUCGCGCAGCACAUUGCGCUUCUCGAGGCGGUCGAUCGGCGUCCACGAAGCUCACCUCCACCGUUUGACCUCGGAUCAGGUAGGGAUACCCGCUGAACUUAAGCAUAUCAAUAAGCGGAGGA